UGGGGAAUAUUGGACAAUGGGCGCAAGCCUGAUCCAGCCAUGCCGCGUGAGUGAUGAAGGCCCUAGGGUUGUAAAGCUCUUUCACCGGUGAAGAUAAUGACGGUAACCGGAGAAGAAGCCCCGGCUAACUUCGUGCCAGCAGCCGCGGUAAUACGAAGGGGGCUAGCGUUGUUCGGAUUUACUGGGCGUAAAGCGCACGUAGGCGGACUUUUAAGUCAGGGGUGAAAUCCCGGGGCUCAACCCCGGAACUGCCUUUGAUACUGGUAGUCUGGAGUUCGAGAGAGGUGAGUGGAAUUCCGAGUGUAGAGGUGAAAUUCGUAGAUAUUCGGAGGAACACCAGUGGCGAAGGCGGCUCACUGGCUCGAUACUGACGCUGAGGUGCGAAAGCGUGGGGAGCAAACAGG
rnacentral:rRNA from 1 species